GGUUAGGUGGCUCAGUGGUUAAGAGCACUGACUGUUCUUCCAGAAGUCCUGAGUUCAAUUCCCAGCAACCA
rnacentral:tRNA from 1 species